rnacentral:misc_RNA from 1 species
UUUUUCCCUUCGCAGAACCGGUGUCCGGUGGCUAAAGUCCACAAGACGUUUAUGACGGCCGGAGUAAAGAUUGGUUUCAAACGGCGUACACCGCCGCCGUCGAUCCUCUUAAGAACAUCUUGAAGCUCCUCGCUCAACAAAUCGGACAUUUCACGUCGGCCAAAGCCGACCGAACGCAAACUUUUAACCACCCAUGAACGCAUUUUCUGCCAUUCUGGACCGUCCGUCAUCGUUAUUCCUACGAACCAAACAGGAACGAAGGCUCACAGACUGAGAAAUCGAACCUCGUUGGCACCCUUUUUACCGGAAACGGCAAUAACGUUGCUGCCUCCCAAACGAAAAGCAAUAACGUCACUAGAAUAUCGUCGAGAAAGCUCGAGAAUAGCCAUAUGUUGACCCCCAAGGGCCCGAGAUAAUUUUCGCAAGAGAAGCAAAUUUCCUAUCAACGGCCAUUGGAAGGGUCCUGUUGGAAUUCAUUAUUCCGUGAAUAUACCGCAAAUAGGUGUGUACUUGGUAUUGUUAUUAUUUU